CCCUUUACCACCUCUGUCAUUAACUUCAAUUACUCUUACUAGUUUUUCGUUGCUCAUUUGUCAUGGUGAUUCAUGUCCAAGAAUGUUUGUUUGUAGUUUAGAUUCUUUGUGGAUGUCAGUUGUUUGUUCAUAUAAUGAUGAUGGGCCCCAUUAUUAUAUGAGCCCACCUGAAGGUGGUCAACUGAUACUCACAGAAGAUCAACUCUGCACUAAACAUUCUUUAUGUGAUGAUAUAACUGGGGUAUUGAAGUGGUCCCUUUCCCUUUGCUCGAAGUUGCGUAUAUAAAGGAAUGAAGUAGCUACAAAAGAAGAUAUAAAAAGUUUAGUUAUAGCCGACAUCAUCAAUAGAAAAGGCAACUUUUCAAACGAAGUUUGUGGAGUGGGGUCAUCCUCCAGUUGGAUGUUGCUCUCUAAAUUUACCUCAUUUAUUUGGUCAUUCACAGCACGAAACUCGACUG